rnacentral:sRNA from 1 species
GUGAGCUACCAUGGCGAUGUCCUCUAUGACAAGUACAUCAGGCCCGAGAUGCCCAUCGUUGACUACCGUACUCGCUGGAGCGGCAUCACUCGGCAGCACAUGUGCAAGGCUAUCCCCUUCCAGGUGGCCCAGAAAGAGGUAAGGGCAGGGUUGGGGACUUGUUUGGGAGGUGUGGUGGGCUGGAAAGAGCCACCCUGGGUUUGAAUCACCACUUUGCUUCACUGGGGGCAAGAAACCUUGGGAAAGUCACCUAACUGCUCCAAACAGUAGGUUCCUUCUCCAUAGAAUAGGGGAAAUAAAAAUAAAAUCCCGACCCUGCCUCCAGAUAAGGAUUGCUGGCCUGUUGCACAGGACAGUGUAGAAAGGCUACGCCAACUGUAAGGUGAUAAACAGCUCACAUUUUAGAGUUUGCUUUCUGUUAUAAAAGUUGUACGCAUUGAUAUAAAAUUUGUAAAGCCCACAGUGGCAUCACAUUCAGGUAUGGAUGUUUUGGCAUAUUUCCUUAUGUUAGUUUCUUAGUGCUUAGAAAAAAUUAGUGGUUGGGACCACACUGAUGCACCAGGAAUUCCCAAACAUGCUUGACCUUAGAAACACCUAAGGCCUUUUCAACAAUCUAGGAUCCUUGUCCCCAGUUCCCUCCAUAGAGUUCCUGAUCCAUUAGGCUUGGGGAGGGCUCUGAUCUGUGUUCCAAAAAAUCAUCACACUGUGCAGACUUGCACCAUAAAGCCACAGGGCUUAAGGGGAAAUAGAGGAAGGGAACAGUAUUAAAAAGGCCAUCAGUGACACCCCAAAAAUAAGAUAGAAACUAAUAAAAAGGGUAGUCCAGUUUUACACAUCUUGUUUCUUCUUUUUUUUUUUUUUCUUAUUCCACACAUCUUAAAUGGUUAAGAAAUGCACAGUACACCAAUAAGUAUGGCAUUUUACCUUGAAAAAGACCUGAAACUUGCCUGUGGAAACAGGAGUCAGAAAGGUUGCAGCUUGAGUUUCUGUGAAGUGGUCGAAGGAGAGUUCUUUGAAGUCAGACAGGAAGUGUGACACCAGCUGUGGAUGGGUGUGGCUUAUCACACAGGUGAACCAGGGUUGCUGGGAGAUGUUUGGGCUUUGUGCGUAUUGUGUAUGACCUCUUGGUUCAGUUCAGCUGGAUGUAGUUUUCUGCGUUUACUCAGUGUUUCUCAAGGAUGAAAUUAUGCAUAAGCAAAGGUGAAAUUUGCAUUGUUUUCAAAAUGUGUCGUACAUCAAUUGCAUUGAGACAAAUCUGCAUUUUCUAAACAAGCCUUAUAACAGGACCACUUUUUAACACUUCUGGGUUAUUCUUGGGAUUAGGCAAGGUUGGGAAAUACUGGUGUACACUAUCUCGUGUCCUACUUUUUCACAUGACAUUGUGGCCCGAGCAUUCCUUUGAAAUGAUUGGAGGUUAUUUUAUGUAUCAAGCAGGCCAAUCAGUAAGAGUAGCAAGAGGGGAGGUGUGUGGGGAACCCUCCAGCUCCUUGGUCCCUUCCAUUGACCUGGUGGGUGGUGGUCCCAAGAGCAGGACCACUUUUUGUCUGCCCAGACUCUGAGCGCCACUGUGGGGUGUCCUUCACCUCUUUCCACUUCAUGGCUGACUGGGGGGAGGGGCAGUGUGGUGAGUGACCAGCAUGGUGGCAUGUCCCUACUAUAAAGUCUCAAUGCAUCUUAUCCAUCUGCCAUGAAAGCUGGGUUUAGGGAUAAACCAUAUGUUGCCAGCAGAGGUAGGCUGUGGAGGCCCGCAGCUGGUGAUAAGGAGAGCCCAAGCCCAGCUAAGAGGGCUGGAGGGGGUUGCUGGCCCAUGGCCCUGGGCGUGGCCUCCCUGGUAUGUGAGGAGGGCCAGCCAGCAGGGAAGGGAGGUACACAUUGUGCAGGCGGCCAGAGCUGAGCAAGAGAGCAGGUUAAGAGGGUGAGGAGGAGUUGGUACACAGCAGGGCAAGGGGGCAGAGUCCUGAAGACAGGGAUUAUGGCCCUUAAUGCUCAUAAGAGCUGCUGCUAUGGUGUGUCUACCAGUGACAGGCACGGUUCUGUUGACUUCACCCAGCUGGCCUUUAUUGAUCACAUCCUGUGAUAAGUAAAUAAUCAGUAAAUGUAAUGCUUUCUACUACAGGAAAAAGAUAGGCAUUAAAAAAAAAGAAUAAAUGUGACGCUUUCCUUGGAGCAUCACUAAGAAGUCCAACAUGGUCCCUGCACUCAACAGACCUUACAGUGGGGUGGGGGAGAGUUGGGUGGAGUGGGAGGCCUGGUGAUGUCUUCCAGGCUGAGAGGAGAGCCAAGAAUGCUGCUGGCAGUGUUCCCCUUUGACAGGUGCGGAAGACAUAGGUAUACCCCUGGGUAUAGACAGUAGAAGGGCCUGGGUUCAGACUUGGGGCAGCAUGCUUGACUGUGGAGCUCGUGAUCUCCCCACUCGGUGCUGCCUCCCUCCACAGGGAUCCAUGCACCUAUUGGCCAGGGGUUCUCGGGGCAUGUCUUCUGCCAACCUGAUGGGGUGUGGGGGGACCUCCCUGACUCCUCUUUCUGCUCACAGAUCCUUAAGCUCCUGAAGGGCAAGGUGGUGGUGGGGCACGCGCUGCACAACGACUUCCAGGCGCUCAAGUAUGUCCACCCUCGGAGCCAGACCCGGGAUACCACCUAUGUCCCAAACUUCCUCAGCGAGCCCAGCCUCCACAUCCGGGCCCGGGUCUCUCUAAAGGACCUGGCCCUGCAGCUGCUGCACAAGAAGAUCCAGGUGGGCCAGCAUGGGCACUCAUCAGUAGAAGAUGCCACGACAGCCAUGGAGCUCUACCGGCUGGUGGAGGUACAGUGGGAACAGCAGGAGGCCCGCAGCCUCUGGACCUGCCCCGAGGACAGAGAACCUGACAGCAGCACAGACAUGGAACAGUACAUGGAGGACCAGUACUGGCCCGAUGACCUGGCCCACGGCAGCAGAGGAGGAGCCCGGGAGGCACAGGACAGAAGGAAUUGAGAAGGGGGCGGGGCUCCCUGGCUGGGCUUCCGGUGUGGCCGGUAGGAAGUGGGGGCCAGGAGAGCAGCGGGCACUCCUUCCUGGGCAGGGUGGGGCAGGAUGCAGCGAGCCAGCCCCAGGGUCAGAGGAGUUGGGGUCAUCUGUUAAAUUGACACCCUCUGCUCACAGCAUAGCCCUCUCUCUCUCCAGGGCUGUUGGUUCUUUCUCCUGACUCCUGUGGUUUUGCUAAUGGCACUUUACAGACAGACUCCAUGGAGAUGUCAGGUGGACCAUCUUCUAGGGCCCAGCAGGAGUAGGGAAUGUGCCAACAGACUGCCCAGGUUGUCGUGGCCUUCCCCACCCCCCAGAUCUCCUGAGUCAUCAUGCUGUGCUAACGAAAGGGAUCAUAUCCUCUCUGGGGAUGGUGGGUGGGGGUGUCAAUAUCCUGGAGCUCCCUUACCCCAACUCAAUGACUUGAGGUAAAGUUCUCUUCCUUUUAUUGCCUACCUCUUCCUCCACUCAUUUGGGUUCAGAAUAAACAUGCCCUGAAGUUAAAGAGGAGUUAAGUCCUGAAGGAGGCAUUUCUUCCCCACCUCCCUGACCUGGAACUCUGGCUGCAGCCGUUGUAGGAACUCCACGCUCCGUCUGGCCUGUCAGCUCCCUGCUAGGCUACAGUGGAAUAGCAGAGCCCACAGGCUUCUCGUGGGGAGUUGGCUCCUUAACAUGCUUGGCAACAGAAAGCCCCAGGCACAGCUAGGGAGGAGGGAAGGCAGGUAAGCUUUGGACAAGAACUGGCAUAUUGAUUUUGACCCAAAUCAGGGAUUUCCCCAGUCCACCCAGUACUGGGCUCUUAAGCAAAAGUCUGAGAAACAAGACAGUGGUUUGAAUUCUGGGGCCUUUGUGUAGAAUUGUGCCUGACCUUUAUUUAUUUAUUAAGAGCAGGGCCACUUGUCUAGGGGAGUGGAGUCUGCGUGUCUCCUGGGGCUGGGGCAGGGCAUUGGCGGUUAUGCAGUGGCCCUGUACCUGGUCUGGUGCCCCCUCAGCUCUUUGACAAUCACUGUGGCUGUUGGGUUUUCUCCUAUUUCUAAAAAUAUUCUCUUUCCUAAGUGACAGUUUUGAAGUAUUGGGUAACCAAGAGCUCAGGUCACACAGAUCUUGGAGCCCCAUCUUUGCUUGCAGCUUAGCUUUGAGAUACUAAGCAAGCGAGGGACUUUACUCUUGAGCCUGUUUUGUCCUCAUCUGUAAAAUGGGGAUAGUGGUACGGCCUACCUCACAGGGUUGUAAUGAGCACUAAAUGUGAAGUGUUGGGGAUAGUGGUACGGCCUACCUCAUAGGGUUGUAAUGAGCACUAAAUGUGAAGUGUUUGGCACAGUGCCUGGCACAUGGUGAGCCACAGCUACUGUGAGUUUCUGUUUAUCCCUUUUUUUUUUUUACGCCCAAAAAGGGGCCACAACAUUGUUUAUUCUUUGAGGAUUUGUUGUAACUUCUUCAGGAUAACACCUGAGUCCCCAGGCUGAGCAGCUGUGGCCCAGACAGAACUGCUCUGGCUUGGCUGUUCCAGCAGGUGGGGCGCUGGCCUCGGUGAGGGCACAGCAGCAAGGUUUACGGAUAUCCGUGUGUCUUGUCUGUGGCCACCAGGCACAGGUUUGGCUUCCGGUCAGUGUCCCGACACUGUGCGGGAGGUGACAACAGAGCAAAGCAGCACAGGGGUCACGGAGGUAAAGACACUGCUGAAAUCACACUACCCCACCCUCAGCUGAAGCCCCACGUUCCACAAACUUGGGGUCAUAGAUUGUCCAGUGACUGGCUCCCUCCCUGUCAGCACAGCACAGAGGAAGGGGCUGACUGAAUCUUUUACCACUUCUGGCCUGGCUCCAGAACUUUGUUCUAGACUCCUUAAAAGUCCGUAGCUGAUGUCAAACUCAGUUGAGCAGUAGCUUUGAUCCCUUGGUCUGGGGGUUGAAGGAAGACGGCGCUGUUAUCAGCGGGGAAAUGUACUAUUUAAGAUCAGCUUUGUUGUAAAACCAUUUGUUCUAGAAUAAAACUCAAUUGGAAAAGUG